GUUUCCAGAUGUGGUGGCUGAAAUUGUUACCCCACCAGCAGGAGUCAAUGGUGUGACGCAACGACCAGUGAAGCAGAGACUGAAGACUCAAGACUGCAGCUGCACAUAAGAUGGCAAAACAAUGUAUUGGUUGGAUUGAAAAUGUUGCCACCCACUUGGCCCGAGGUGUCUGUGCCCGUUUCCUUUCGUUUCCUGUUGAAGGAAUGAGGAGAAGUGUCCAAUUCUGAGUGUUGACAGGAUUUGUCAAGCUUCUCAUUGCAUACCUUUGAAGAGACGAGACCAGAGGGAGUAAUGCUAAACAAACGUGCUGUUCAAGUAACCAGUGGCAGCAAUCCUAAAUCGCCAUUCAUAUCUACAAACAAUGACACAUAUUGCAUGCAUUUCCAACUGUGUUUAGCAGACAAGAACAAAACCAUAACAUUCUUGUGAAAAUGCAUUUUCAUUUUUUAAGUCAUAUCCCACUAAACAUAACAUAAACAGCUUUGCUCUUUAGUAUCUGUGGCUUUUUGCCUUGGAAAAGGAUAGGGCCCAAAUACCCACCCCAGACACUUUGAAGUCUGGCAUGAAAGUUCUGUGUAGAGAAAAACGAAAUAGCAAAUGGCUGUAAUUAAAGAUGUGGAUUUAAAUGAGUGAAAGAGAA